rnacentral:rRNA from 1 species
GAUGAACGCUGGCGGCGUGCCUAAUACAUGCAAGUCGAGCGAACGGACGAGAAGCUUGCUUCUCUGAUGUUAGCGGCGGACGGGUGAGUAACACGUGGAUAACCUACCUAUAAGACUGGGAUAACUUCGGGAAACCGGAGCUAAUACCGGAUAAUAUUUUGAACCGCAUGGUUCAAAAGUGAAAGACGGUCUUGCUGUCACUUAUAGAUGGAUCCGCGCUGCAUUAGCUAGUUGGUAAGGUAACGGCUUACCAAGGCAACGAUGCAUAGCCGACCUGAGAGGGUGAUCGGCCACACUGGAACUGAGACACGGUCCAGACUCCUACGGGAGGCAGCAGUAGGGAAUCUUCCGCAAUGGGCGAAAGCCUGACGGAGCAACGCCGCGUGAGUGAUGAAGGUCUUCGGAUCGUAAAACUCUGUUAUUAGGGAAGAACAUAUGUGUAAGUAACUGUGCACAUCUUGACGGUACCUAAUCAGAAAGCCACGGCUAACUACGUGCCAGCAGCCGCGGUAAUACGUAGGUGGCAAGCGUUAUCCGGAAUUAUUGGGCGUAAAGCGCGCGUAGGCGGUUUUUUAAGUCUGAUGUGAAAGCCCACGGCUCAACCGUGGAGGGUCAUUGGAAACUGGAAAACUUGAGUGCAGAAGAGGAAAGUGGAACUCCAUGUGUAGCGGUGAAAUGCGCAGAGAUAUGGAGGAACACCAGUGGCGAAGGCGACUUUCUGGUCUGUAACUGACGCUGAUGUGCGAAAGCGUGGGGAUCAAACAGGAUUAGAUACCCUGGUAGUCCACGCCGUAAACGAUGAGUGCUAAGUGUUAGGGGGUUUCCGCCCCUUAGUGCUGCAGCUAACGCAUUAAGCACUCCGCCUGGGGAGUACGACCGCAAGGUUGAAACUCAAAGGAAUUGACGGGGACCCGCACAAGCGGUGGAGCAUGUGGUUUAAUUCGAAGCAACGCGAAGAACCUUACCAAAUCUUGACAUCCUUUGACAACUCUAGAGAUAGAGCCUUCCCCUUCGGGGGACAAAGUGACAGGUGGUGCAUGGUUGUCGUCAGCCCGUGUCGUGAGAUGUUGGGUUAAGUCCCGCAACGAGCGCAACCCUUAAGCUUAGUUGCCAUCAUUAAGUUGGGCACUCUAAGUUGACUGCCGGUGACAAACCGGAGGAAGGUGGGGAUGACGUCAAAUCAUCAUGCCCCUUAUGAUUUGGGCUACACACGUGCUACAAUGGACAAUACAAAGGGCAGCGAAACCGCGAGGUCAAGCAAAUCCCAUAAAGUUGUUCUCAGUUCGGAUUGUAGUCUGCAACUCGACUACAUGAAGCUGGAAUCGCUAGUAAUCGUAGAUCAGCAUGCUACGGUGAAUACGUUCCCGGGUCU